AGUACAUUACAAACUGCUAAAGUCAUGGUUUUUGGCAGCGGAAAUCAUACGCGAUGAUUUACAGCACGUCGUCAAGACGGAUGUCAUGCUAAGCCCAGGCACGACAUCACUCGGUACCACCAAUGUUGGUCGGGGACGGAUCCCAUUUCACGGACCAACCUUCUGAAAGAGCACAGGGUCAAGGCAAGGGAAGAGUAGGGUCUUCAAGACAUUUCCUGCAAAACAUAUAACUAGCAAGGCUGAGUAUACUAAUACUCAGCAAGGCUUACCCGGGAUUGGGUAUACUUUAGCCCAUAACUAGACUCAUGAAGGCAUUUCAAGGGUUCUGGGUUUAUUUUUAGCUGAAAAGCAACAAAGAGUAUAACUUACUUUCAAGUUUAGCUUUCAGAUUCUAGUUUGAUUAGCCAAUCUAGGUAAGCACCUAUACUAAACAAGCAAGAUAUAGAUUAUCAUCCAUCAAGAUUAUUCCCUCAACAUUUACACUUUUUUACUCGAUGUGGUAGAAGGGAUAAGCAGUCUCAUUCAUCGUGAGAGGCGGACGAUUCCUGAAUCGAAAUUCAACCUUGCAAGGUAAACCUAACACACACGCCUGGAACAUCCAAAGAUCGUUCCGAAGCAACCGUUUGCCUUUCAUUCCGGGUCGUGGACAGGGCCACCACAAGCGACUGCAGGACCAUACGCACACCCUAUAUGUGCAGGGCGUACGUCUGUAGCGCGACUACAAAACCCGUACUCCUGGUUGCCCUUGCAACACGUAUUCCCACACGUCGAAUCAAGUAACCAGAAGAACAAAUACAUGUGGUGGUCAGUAUGUCCACUUGCCGGGCCGAUUGGUUACUAGGCUUACCGCUUACCAUAUUUCGCGGUAUGUGGCUAGUACUUUCAAACGCUCAGCCACCACUACCACACAUUUCGACCUUAAAGCUUUUAUCAAAACAGAUAGGGUAAACUUUAGGUCAUGAUACAACACAUGACCCUGUCCAUCAUCCUUAUAGUGGUUGCAGAAUUGUAAACAAGCAACUCCUAUAUCGCGCGAGUGACAGGGAAUCACCUGACUUUUACCGGUCCUAUUUAGCAGAGCAUCUAUGCGAAAAGGACUCGGGUACAGUACACUGGGUUCCUGAGAUAUCAUGCAACUAGAGUGUCAUUGCAACUCCUAGACGUAAUGCAAGAUAUAUAAUGUAUAAGAUUGCGUAUUGUAGUAAGUUGAAAUACUGGGUUAUGCACCGGGGCUUGCCUUUACUGGUGGGUCUGAAGUCAGUAAGUCAACAUCUUCCGAAC
rnacentral:lncRNA from 1 species